AGUGUAUUGAAUUAAAAUUAGUUUUGAAUUAGUCAAAGUGGGAUAUACUGAUAGAGAUUUAAUUAUUAUUAUUUAGUUGAUUUGGUCAACAUAGAAACAUUCAUAUAUACCCUUAAUUAUUUUUUCAUUGGUCCACCUAGCUAAACAAAAGGAGCAAGUGGCUGUUGAGCAAAUUUUGCCAGUUAUAUUCCUUGAUCCUGAACGACCAAACCAGGCUCUAGAGAAACUUAAGAGACAAUUAGCGGAUGCUGAGGCUGCACUUGAAGCACGUAAAAAGCCUCCAGAAGACACUGGCCCCAGGAUUGUUGGGGAAGGACUUGUCAUAGAUGAAUGGUUGUGUGUAGGUCGAGAUGGAUAAUAAGAAAUUGUUAGAUUUGAUAAAAGGUUUUUCUGAGCAGAGUCGCAAAGUUGAAGAGUUACGUCAAAAGGUGUCACUUAUAAAGUCAAAGAUGUGUUGUGCCUAUGAUCUUUAUCGUUUUCAUGAAGAUUGUUGCAAGUCUGAUGAUGUAUUAUUGAGAACAUCAGUUGCAUUAUUUGAAGAUUCGGUGAACUCGAAAUUAUGUAGUCAUAUGGAACCUUCUACGGAAAAUGGCAAAUUUUUGAAAUUGGUAGAAGAUAUUGUAGGAUUUAGCAGUAGUGAUCUUGAUGUUUCGAUUAUACCUAAUGUGAAAGAUGAAAAAAUAUUGGUAAAUAAGGUGGAUGAAAAUAGUUUGAAUGUUAGUUGUGGUAAAAAGUAUUGCAUUGGUGAUGACAAUGUUCAGUUUGAAGACAGUGGGAAGAAUAAAGAAGUGUCUUUUGAAAAGGAAUUAUCAAUGUUGGAUGAAUGGAAUUGUUUCGAGACGAAUGAUGGAGACUAUAUGGAAGGGGGGUUGUUCAAAUCUAAGGUGUUAGUAUCAACAAAAGAUAAGGAGUCAAUAUCAAAUAAAACGAGAUUUGCGCGAGGAUAUGGAUGUUUUGAUCCAUAUGUUAAGGAAGAGAAAGAGUUAGUAGCUAUUCACGGCGGUUCUGGAUUUGAUUUAAACUUAUAUGAUAUUACUCAGUUUGAGUUGUCUGCAUUGGUAAGUGGGUAAUUAUUUUUAUUUUAUUCUUUUUCUUGUAUAAAUAUACAUUUUAGUAGUGUGUGUAAAUGUGUUAAAAUUUAUAUAUAUAUAUAUUAGGAUGGCAAAGUAAAAUUGGCUUGUGAGAGAAGCGAGGAGCACCGUAAAUUUUCAGAAAUUUCUGCAUUGUAUCCAGUAGUUUGUUCGACACCCUGUUUUAUUGGAGAGUCCUCAUUUUCUUCUUGCGAAGAAGGUGUGACUAAAUAUAUAUUUGACAACUCACUGAAUUGUAGGUAAGUAAUUACUAUUAUCUCUUAUUAAGAAUUAUGUUUGUAACUUAAUUUGUCAACAAUAAUUGUGUUACUUUAAUUAUUUUUGUGUUUUCCUUUUGUAGGGAAGUUUUAUAUUUGAGUGAAAGAGUCGUGGGCCGAAGAGAAGACUUUCUAUCACUGAAUGUUAAUACAUUGAUCGGGACAAGGGUGGUGAACAUGGUAGUAGAUUUAUUGUGUGACUAUGAGGCUAAGCUAAGAGGACAUUCCAUGAAAUUUUGGUUUAUACCGACGAGUAUUUCUGUUAGUGUUAAUUUUUCUUAGUCAAUUAUAGAUAGUAAAUGAUUUUAGAUUGAGGUUAUA